UGGGGAAUAUUGCACAAUGGGCGAAAGCCUGAUGCAGCAACGCCGCGUGAGUGAUGAAGGUCUUCGGAUUGUAAAGCUCUGUCUUUUGGGACGAUAAUGACGGUACCAAAGGAGGAAGCCACGGCUAACUACGUGCCAGCAGCCGCGGUAAUACGUAGGUGGCGAGCGUUGUCCGGAUUUACUGGGCGUAAAGGGUGCGUAGGCGGAUGUUUAAGUGAGAUGUGAAAUACCCGGGCUUAACUUGGGUGCUGCAUUUCAAACUGGANAUCUAGAGUGCAGGAGAGGAGAAUGGAAUUCCUAGUGUACGGUGAAAUGCGUAGAGAUUAGGAAGAACACCAGUGGCGAAGGCGAUUCUCUGGACUGUAACUGACGCUGAGGCACGAAAGCGUGGGUAGCAAACAGGAUUAGAUACCCUGGUAGUCCACGCCGUAAACGAUGAGUACUAGGUGUAGGAGGUAUCGACCCCUUCUGUGCCGCAGUA
rnacentral:rRNA from 1 species